CUGUUGACUUCCCCCCCACCCCACCCCGGGCAGCCUCAGCCAUCGGAGUCAUUUGUGUGCUCAGGACACGUGGCAGUGUAGAGCACCUCAUCCCUGCGGGAAGUGGGACCCUCACAAAUGAUUUUCCAGCGAGGCAGUUUGUGUGCGGAUUUCAGACUUGGCUCUGUUCUACCUUUGCACAAUGCGUCAGCUCCACGGUGGAGGUGGGCACUAGGAAAGACUAGCACUCGGGCCACGACCCCUCCCCUCCCAGGCCUGCCCUGGUCUUUCACAAGCAGGAAGUCCAGCCCCAGCCAGGUGCCCUUUCUGAAUCACCAGUGGGGAACCAUGGCCCAUUCCCCCAUUACCUCUGCCACAGUUAAUUUCCCAGAGGCCUGGUGACAUUCUUUCCUGGAGGUGGUCACAUAAGGUUACUGGUCUCCACUGUCGUACUUUGGGGAAAUCCUUUUACGGGUUUCUCUUAAUGACUCUUUCAUUUGGGAGUUUACGCUCUUGGGGUGAGGUCUGCCUUUGAGUUCUGCGGUGUUGGAGCAGCCCCAAGCUCCUACUAACCACUCUGAAGCCGACCCCAGGCAGACUCAUGAACUUUUCUCUGUCCAUGGUGAGAGGGUAUUUAUUUCCUGCAAACCUCUUCAUCUUACCACUCUUAUUCUCUUUCCUGAGGUCACGGUCCAGGGGUGCCCAGACAGCUGAUUUCUUUACCUCCCAUUAGUGGCGCUAAGAAAAACAAAUGAGAUUGAAAAGGAAAGUUGCCAGAUACAUAAAAAUAAUCUGGGUGAGGACCAAGAGCGAGACUGUCUUUCUGUACUCAGCCUGUGUAGAGAGAUGUUCUAAAACUAUAAAAUCAUAGAGGAGGAGGAAGAGGAGAAAGGGAAAAAAAAGCUUUUUUAGAUUUCAAGCUGUGGAAAACCUGGUGUGUUUUAUCCAGGGACAGUUUUGAAACCUGUCAUUAGCAUCUUGAUUGCUUUUAUAUUUGUAGAAGGUUAUUCUCAGGAGCCUUGUGAUAACCCCGUGUGGGGCAGGAGGUCGAGAUGCUUAUCUCCAUUUUAAAGGCCUGGUGGAGCCCAGGGAUGGGAGGUCGCUCGCCUGCAGCCAAAAGAUGAAUUAGCCUUCCGGGUUGGAAAGGUAAUCUACCCUCUUUGCGGAAUGGCAGGGCGGUCUCUGGGGAGAGGCCGAUGCUGAUGGGCAUGGCGCCGCCUGCUUGUGGCCGGCAUGCUUGCUAGCUCUGUGUUCUAGGAACUCCUUUGAUGGCAGGUUCCUAGCCUCAGUUUCCCAGUCUGUAAAAUGUGAAUGGCCACAAACCCCUUCCAGUCUUGCAGAUGUGGCAAGGAGGUGUAGACGACUUUGGAAUAAAGCAGCUCUUAUGGAUGGGAUGGCUAUAAGCAUCCAGCAGAGUUGGAGUGGGUAGCAUUUUCCAAAGAGGACUUCUUGGGGAGUGAUGCCAUUCACAGGAAACCCAGGGCUCUCCCAGCUAGACCUUCUGUGUAAAUUUGAGCCUGUCCUCUUUCUUUCCUUUUUUUGAUGAAUGGGCUUUUUGUUAAUGAAAGGAAACAACGCAUCUCAGCCGCUGCUAUGUGAGGCUCUUGGGACAGGAGAGCUUUUUUUUGGUUGGCAGGUGGUGAGGGUCAGGGGUGCCUUUUCUACAAAGGGGUCUUGAGGCCUCUGACAACCACAUACGUAGAAGGUCAACAAAGAACUAAAUUCAGCCUGACUGGGGCUGCUGCUGGUGUGAUUACAUCAAACCUGGCAGCACCAUGUUUUUUUUAAUAAAGUUAUUUAUUGAUUUAUUUAGGGCAGUGUUGGGUCUUCGUUGCUGCGCGUGGGCUUUCCUCUAGUUGCGGCGAGUGGGGGCUACUCUUUGUUGCAGUGCGCGGGCUUCUCAUUGCGGUGGCUUCUCUUGUGGAGCACGGGCUCUAGGCACGCAGGCUUCAGUAGCUGUGGCAUGCGGGCUCAGUAGUUGUGGCUCGUGGGCUCUAGAGUGCAGUCUCAGUAGUUGUGGUGCACGGGCUUAGUUGCUCCACGGCAUGUGGGAUCUUCCCGGACCAGGUCUCGAACCCGUGUUCCCUGCAUUGGCAGGCGGAUUCUUAACCACUGUGCCACCAGGGAAGUCCAGCACCACGGUUUUUAGUGCAGAGGCUUUUAGAGGCUUUUAGAAGACGCUGGAGACUCCGUUCUGGCAUUAAUUAGUUGUGUGACUUUGGGGAAAGUACUUUUCCUGGGUCUCAGUUCUCCCAGCUGCAAAACGAGGCAGAGUUGCAUUCCUAGCUCUUGACAGCCUAUGUUCUGUGAUUCUUUUCUUCAUAAGCAGAGUCCGGGGAUGCCACAGAGAGCUAUUCUAGAAAUGCUUUUGGCCUCCUUUCCGAUUUCAGGUGGCCUUGUUCAUCUUCGUUCAUCUUUUGCUCCCUGUGUCUUCCCCGUAAAGUACACAUGACCAGGCCACCCUUAGGGACACACGUAGAUGAUGUUGGCACUCGGGGCUGACAGCUGCAGAGAGACAGAUGUUUGGGGAACUAGGGACUGAUUCCUGUUACUUGUGCUUUUGCUGUUGUCCUGUGCUUAGCUUAAACUCUGAAGCUAGAGGGUGGGGUACAAAGAACAGAGUCAGGCUGAGGAAUUCUUGGGCCAGAGCAGGAUUGUACUGCUUUGUCCUUUACUCCUAAGUCACUGCUUUGUGUCAUUUAAAUAGUAACUUCCGGCCUAGUGGGGGACCUAGCCUGUGAUGAAUCCAACAUUCCAUACCUUACCUGUGGCUCUUCCUGGGAAGCAGGGACGUAUGGAUUUUUAAAAGUUCAUGUGAGUCCUUAAAAGAAAUUUAACAACAGAUGGUUGGAAACAAUUUUCUGACUCGGUUACAGCAAUGACUAAUGGUAGUAAGUAUGGUUAGUAAUACUUUACAUUUAUCUAGCUUUUAACUGUUUAUAAGACACUUUCACAUGCAUUAUCUUCUUUAGGGUUAUGCUAGAUAAGCUUGAGCCUGGAGAGGGGGUUGUUAAAAUGUUUCCUGUGACUGUGUGUAUUCCACAGGGGAGAUGUUGAGUACAAAGAAAUGCUUUGGCAAGUGAAUUAGCUGAGUUAGGCCAUAUUAUGGCAGUGAAUUCUGUGGAGUUCAGAGGUCCCAAUAAGGAAAGGGAGACAUUAGCUGAAAUGAAAGCGGGAGCUUAGCAGAGGCAUUUCUGAUGUGUGUCUCUCAACAGGCCGACUCAAUUAUGGCUUUAUAGAAAGGCCUUGUUCCUCAGAGCCAGUGUAAGUUUGUAACAAGGACAGUAUUGCUUUAGGCCAGGAAAUGGAAGAGUUGGAGGGAAAGUGGUUAGUCUCCUUAUCUCCCAUUUUUCAGUCUGUAAAAUAUUUAUUUCCAAGGCCCUGUUACGCAGACCCUCAUCAUAGCCAUGCUGCCUUUGGGUGACCGCCAGCUUUAGAAGCAUAAGGAAGGGCAGUUCUUGUAUCUGAGGUCUGUUCUGGAUUAAUAUUCCCGCUGUCCGGUUUCUUUUUGGCCUCAUCUGAUAUCUCAAGGGCCCUGGAACUGGGGUCUGGUGGAGGUUUGUAUGAUUACAGCAGCACCUUCCCACAUCUGAGCUCAGGCCGGGGACGCUUGAGGGUUCUCGGGAUCAGCAAGCACCAGGAUUAACGCACUGUUAUUAAACCCCUCGCUGAAUAUCAAUGGUGUUUACCCAUUGCACCAGUAUUUCUUCAAGUGUGGCUAGUCCCCUUGUGCAUAUUAUUUAGGCAGGUGUGGGUUACAGGGAAUGAAUUUACUGACUGAUUCUGCUGUUUACCAGAAAAAUCACCCAGCAAGUUAGUGGCAGAGGUGGCUUUAGAACCGAGCUGCCACAGUGGGUAUUGGGGCUUUGCAGGAAGAGCUUCUCAUAGCUACUUAAGUCCGAAAAUCUACACGUUCUUAGCAGAAGGGUUAAAAUGCCAGACAAUUUGACUGAUCGUGUCCAUAAAGACUGGUGGCCUUUUAUCUCCUUUGCAUCCAGUUAUAUUGUCUCUGUCUUAGGAACUUAACGAAAAGAUCAAAUUUGGGAUGUCUUGCCCAAUUGUCCGCUUCCGGUUGGUUCUGUAUGUGUCUGUGUCAAUGUCUCCUGGUUGGGCGCUGAACUGAGUGGGGCACAGCAUAUGGUGUUUAACCCUCCGUGUCUCUGUGCAUAAGGCAGGCUGGAUCUCAGCUGGACAUUUGCCAAAUAAUAAUUGAUGCUAUUGACCCUGGAACGCCAAGCCUCUGGUUUUUAGCCUGUAAUACCUAGUGAGCCCCAUCCUUCUUUUAGAGUUGCCAUUGCUAUUUUAUUUUUCUGUCUUUACGAUAUAUUAGAAGGCUGACUUCCACCAAAUGUGGCUAACCUGCUUUUGGCUCACUGUUUAUUUUUCUACUUCUUCCCUCUUUGCUGAAAGCGUAGAAUGGCACAUAUUCAAAAUGGCCCUGAGCUUUUUGUGACACCUUUUGGAACUCACGGAAUAUACACGGGUGUAUUCCAUUUGCUCUGUGAUGGAUUUGUUUGAGAGAAAACCUGAUAGAUUUGAGAACUAGGCUUUUUGUCCCCCGCCUCCUUGACUUCAGACCAACCACACCUCCUCAUCCCAUCUGUUGUCUGGAGUGCUGAUAACUGCUCCCGCUUGCAAUUGACGUCGGUGGGGAAUGGGUACAAUGAGGGAUCCAGCCAUCUGCUGACGGCUUAUCAGAUGGACUGUGUCCUGUGUCAUCAGUCCAGGGGGACACAAGGGGAUAAUGUUUAUAUGGGCCCCAGCGGUGAGGCAUGACAUUCCUUUUUAGUUUGUUUUAUUUUCCCCCCAAGGAAAUUUGCAGAGAAUUUUUCCAUCUUUCAUAAUUACAGUGUUUGGCGGGGGGGGGGGGGUGUCCAUUAUAAAGGGAAGUGGUGUGGAUUGGUGGAUUAAACAAGCCACAGACAGCCCUGGGAUUUAAAAUUAUGAUGCCAGUUUGGCUCGUGGCUUGCUAGGGAACCUGAGCAAAUUAUUUAACCUUUUCCUAUCUCCAUCUUCAUGAAACGGGCCACAUGGAAGCAAAGCAUUUUAAUCCUCUGAAUAACUCUGUGGUCACUUAAACAGAGAUUCCAGGUACAGCUGAUCAGAGCUGGACGAUGACCAAUAGAUUUUUACCUCCGGCUCAGAAACUGACAAACCUCAACACCUUUUCACCUUUCUUGAUAGCUAUUAGAAUCCAUUCCUCUAAUCAUUUCUGUUGCUUUUCUCUGGAUCCUUGCCCGUGCCUGCAUACCCUUCUCAGGCACAGCCUAUAAAACUGGGUGCUGCGACCAGAGGUCCAGCCUACACCCAGCAGAGGAAGGCUUUCCUUCUCCGCCUUUUCUCACCAUGCACUUGUUAAUACAACCCAGCGUGGAGCUUGCUAUUAAGUAACAGCAUGUGGCUGGCUCCUACUUGGGGUGACCCACAGGGUCCCUGGGUUUUUGUCCCUUUGCCAUAGAUGUGUCUCUUUCAUCGCUGUCUUCGUGGGAUCUGUCGUGAGUUCCUCCCCUCUGCAGAUCCCCCUGAAGCGUCUCCUCUGUGAAACUUUCCAGUUGACCUUGGCUCCACAGUUAUUCCAUUCAUUCCAGUAACAGCUUUUGUCCUCUUUUCCUGACCCUCUGAAUAUUCCUCAGACUAUUUGGCUCUUCAGCAUAUGCCUUUGUAUACAUGUAGGUAAUUCAGUGAGUCUUCGACUGGGUUGCUUGUUUUUGCAUGUUUGUUCAUUUUCCACCAUUAGCGUAAACACUUUUCUUUAAGGAAAGGAGUAGUGUUUUGUUUUUCUCUUCCCUCUGUAACUCCCUGCAGAGCUUAAUACAAUACAUGCACAUUAAUUUUUUAAUGUGUGCCUGGAUAAUGCGGGCUGACUGACUGACAGAGCUGACUGUUUUCUUCCGCUUUUUCAUUUUCCCUCUGGUGGUUCUGUCUGUGUUCCCUUGAGGUCUCCUGGGCACUGUUCCUAUGUCUCCUGUACCCAUUAAGAGAAUCUCCUGUCUGGUUUUUGAAAUAGCCAGAGGAGAGAGGUGGUUUUGCCUCCAGCUCACACAUCUUUUGGUUCCAUCACAAAGAGCUGGUUAUUAGGAACUGCAGCCCAUUCUCUGCCCCAAGUAUCUGCUCCCUUUCAUUGCUGUGAGGAAAUUACGCUGUUGGAUCUUGGUCUGAAAUCCCUUGGUUCGACAUCUGGAAGUGUCUACUUUCUUCCUUUCCUUCUUUAAUAUCAGACACGUUAAAAAAACGUUAUUAGUCUGGUGACUCACUUUCCAUCUCUUUCUGUCCCCUUUUGUAUUUUUCAGUAGGUAGCUCACUGUCGUCAUACCUCACUGAAACACCCUCUGCAAGAAGAGCCAGGCUUCUCAACUUCUGGUCUUUCAUAUCUUUUUUUUUUACUUUAUUUUUUUUUCAGCUUUGUGAGGUAUAAUUGACAAAGAAAAUUUUAAGAUAUUUAAAGUGCACAACAUGACGAUUUGAUGUACGUGUGCAUUGUGAAAGGAUUCCCCACCCCCCAUGGAGAUCCAUGGUCUCAUAUCUUUUGUUGAAUUGAGAGCAUCUUCUGCCAGUCACUGGAUGAGUGGACCUGAAGAGACUAUGGGUGUGGAGUGCAGUGCUUCUCGAACUUUCUUUGUGAAAAAUUCCCUUGGGAGCUUGUUCUAAUGCAGAUGCCUGGCUCUCUACUCAGGGAGUCUGAGUAGGUCUAGGGCCUAUAGGGUGAGGAUGGGAAUCUGCAUUUAUUACAAGCUCCCAAGUGAUUCUGAUGCUGGUGAGCAUUGGACCCUGCUUGGAGAGACAUUAUCUAGAGGCUAAAGUAUGAGGUGGGCUGUCGGUUCAAAUGCUCCUCCUGACGGGUGUGAAUCUGGUGGCCUUUGGGCGGGCGUUUAGUUUUCUGGUAGUACCUCAGUAUUUGUGUGGGUGUUAAAUAGUGUGGCUGAAAUUAGAGGUUGAGGGCUCCGAGAUACUGUGAGGUGGAUUUUACGGUAGCUUUAGAGUUGCAGUGGCUUGUUGGGUCCCUAGGGGUUACGUCAGUGGAGGAUUUCCAGUCCUUCUACACUCCCUUCCCAGCCUUCCAGUGUCUGAGAUUUUGGGGAACUAACGAGAGGAAAUACUGACACAGAGUUAUUGCAUGCUAAUUUUCUAUGUGCAGGACUUUUGUUUUAAAUGCUCAUGGGAAUGUAUUCAUUCAUGUAUCCAUUCAGCAAACAUUUAUCCAGUGCCUGUUGUGUGUCACACAUUGUGCCAGGCACUGGAGAUUCAAAGAUAAAUAAAAACCAUUCUUUGCUUUCAUGUUCCUCACAGUUGAGAUGAGACAGGCAAGAAAAAAGAUCAACUAAAUUACAACAUGUACGGUAACAGAUUUGAACAAAGCAUAGAGGACAGAGGGUCUUUUUUUUUUUUCCUAGUGCAAUUAAGGAUAGCUUCCUAGAAGAGGUGACAUUUGACUCACAAAGGAGGCAUGUUAGCUCCUUGAGAGCAGAGGCCCUUGUUUGUCUUGUUUUCUAUUCUAGCGCCUCAGACAGGGCCUGCCUCAUAGUAGGUGCUCAGUAAACAUGUAUGAAUGAAUGAGUAGGAAGGAAGGGGUGUUGCAGGAAGGAAGGGGUGUUGCAGGAAGGAAGGGAUUCCAGGCAUAGGAAACAAUACAUAUAAAGGCCCAGAGUUGCUUCCUGUGUCACAGGAAAGCUUCUCAACUCUUACCUGGAGUCAUUCCGUUGUUAUUAUCAGGGGAAGAUAUUUUUUCAUAUUUCUCCCUUGGCAAACCAAGGAAUGCUCUGUCAUUUCUGGCCCGUUGAUAAGACAGCUGCAGUUGCCUACGAAUCCUUGAUAGGGGGCUUGUGAGAUAGAGAAUUGUGUUCUCUGUGCUGUCCCAAGGAGGGCUCACACGGUCAAAGACAGACACACAGAACACUGAUGAGAGUGAGCCGACAUUAAGAACAGGAAGUGAGAUAGCAGGCAUCCCACCUGCGACCAGAAGAUGAUUUUUAGCGGCUCAUGGGGUGCUUGCUGUCCCCACGGAUUACACAGCAGAACUGAUGAAAUGUGAUGCUGUCCUUCUACCUUUCUCUUUUCUAUUCUCUUCCCCGUUUCCAAGUCUUUCCCCCCGACCCACUCCAUCCAGGUUUGCCUCUUUCCAGAGUACUCAAAGCUCCGAAUCAACCCCUUGUAUUGAUACAUUUCGAAAUGCCCGUUUCAUCAGAGGAGGUCAUAUCGCUGAGGAAAUCAGGAAGGAGUCAGUUCCAUUUAGGAGGUUCACACUGAAGUGCGAAUGGCUCAUAGACUCAACUGGGCUGGGGGAGGGCAGGCAUUUCUUAAAGGGCUUGUUACCCUUACUCUAAAUGGUGGGGUGUUUUUGAGCAGGUGGCCUUUCCCGUGUUCCUUACCCAGUUUUUGGCCUCCUUUCCACUCCACACCCCACCAUCCCCCCGAGAACUGGGGUUAUCAGUGUCUUGCUACCCUAAUUGCUGGACCCCCAGGGUAAGUCUCCCUCCAGGGUGCUUGGAUACAGCAGUUAAAUCUGAAGGCCUGGGGAGGAUUCCUCCUCUUCUGGGUAUGGUCCUCUCUGUUUACUCAGCUCUUUCCCAGGGAAAGAGUUACCAGCUAAAUAGGGCAUGGCUUGCAUGUCCGUCAGCGUGUGCUGUGUCAGGGGACGCAGACCUGUUGCGAACCUGAGAUCCUGAAGGGGAGGGUUGGGGGGAUCUCUCCGGUGGCUGUGCGCUGUUGGAGCAAAUGCCAGAGGAGGAAGGGUGGGAUGAGUCUGGUCCUGGGCCUGUGGCUCUGUGGAAAGGGAAUAGACGGGAGGUUAGAGAGGACUGGCCUGUUGGGCAGAAACAGUUCAAGCCGUGUCCUAUGGGCAGGUGUUUAGGUGGGUAGAAGAGCGAGAAGCGGGAUUAUCUGGAGGAGAAAGGAGGCAUGAGCCCAUUCUAAUUCCAUCCGGGUGCCUCCAGUCUCCCUGUCUCCAUCGCACAUCAGUGGUGGUGUAAACUCAGGGUGUAUUUUGCCUGUGAAUAGAAUCGCCUUUGCCAGUCGACCAGCUGUGUUUGCAGAAAGACUGUGUGCUCAGGCUGUUGCUAGCAAAGAGACAUUUCAUUCAGGUGCUGAUUAAAUAAGGCGCAGAGCCAGGUUGCACAUUAGGCCCUUAACUACGGCUCUGGGAGCCCCUGGGUAAACACUUAUUAGAUGUUCUGGGCAGAGUAUUAGCAGAGGCUGCUGGACAUGAGGUGCUUUCUUCAGAAAUCAAGUUAGGGGAAAUUGGCUAGGAGAGAAAGGGUCUAGAAAGGGUCUUGCUCCUCUUUUCCUAGACUCGUCAGGUCCGAGCUGCUGGCAUAUACAUGGAAGGGCUAGACAGAUUUCCUCAUUGGCAUUUACUUGUGAAGUUCUCACUGGGACCCGGUAGGUUUGGAUUGGGACACAGCAAGGAGACUGGCUAAGUUAAGUAGGGCACUAGUAAUGCCUCCUUUUCCUAAUGCAAAUUCAGCUUAGUGGACUGAGCUUUUGGACCAUAUUUCCUGGGUAUGUAUUUGAGCUCCAUCGUCAUGUGACCUUAGGCAUGUUACUUACCUGCUAAUCAACUUCAGUUUCACUCAUCUGUAAAACGGGAGUAAAAAUAGUACCUACCUAAUAGAGCUGUUGCCAGGAUUAAAUGAAAUAAUUUAAAUCAAGCAUUUAGCAGAAGUUCUGGCUCGUUGUCAGCACUCAAUAAAUGUUAGCAGUUUUUCAGAGUACAGUUGGCCAUCUGUAACCGUGGCUUCUACUUCUGCAGAUUCAACCAACUACAGGUUGCAAAUAUUUAGGAAAAAAAAAAUUCCAGAAAGUUUGAAAACACAAAACUUGAAUUUGCUGUGCACUGGCAACUGUUUACAUUUCUUUUACAUUGUAUUUGCAACUAUUUACAUAGCAUUUACAUUGUAUUAGGUAUUAUAAGUCAUCUAGAGAUUAUUUAAAGUGUGUAGGAGCACGUGCGAGGUUACAUGCAAAUACUACACCAUUUUAUACAAGGGACUUGAACAUUCACAGAUUUUGGUAUCCGUGGUGGGUCCUGGAACCAACCCCCUGCGGAUAGCAAGGGACUAUUGUAGUAGUAGCAGUACAAUGUAUUUCAAGGCAUACUGGGUAGAAGCUGGCUCUAGGGUGGUAAAGGCCUGGGUUCAAAUCCUACCACUAACUGUGUAGCCCUGGGCAAGUUACUUAACCUCUCCAACCCCUAGUUUCCACAUUUGUAAAACGGAAUAAUAAUUAUACCUACCCUGCAGAGCUGUUGUAAGAAUUAAAUGAGAAAAAAUGAGACAAUACUAAUAAAGCACUUAAGAUAGUAGACAGUCAAUAAAUUUUUUGCUGUGAUGUGAUGCGUGAUGAUGGUCACGAGCUUCGUUAUCCUUAUUAUGGCUGCUGCUGCUGUGAGCUUGGAUGCCUGAUGCUGGGAUAAGAUGAUAGAGAUUAGAUACAGGAAGGCAGCUUUAAGAAUCUCACCCUCCCCCCAAAAAAAAUCUCACCCAAGAGCAGCUUCCCUGGCAUCUUUGUUUCAUGUGGUAGGCAAAAAUAUUGGUUCCAUGAAGGUGGCACCCACAUGAUCUCUGCAGGGCAGGGUGGCUCGACUGUUGGAGGCCUAAGGACGGUUUUGUGGGGAAUUUGGAUGUUCCUGUAAAUCACGCAGCCCUUUCUGAAGCAUUUGGAGGAUGGCUGUCAUUGGUAGGAAGUUUGGCUUUCCAGGGACCUCUGGGCUUAAUUACUGCUGCUCUUCAUCAAUGGGCUGGCUCUCUGGUGCCUGCUAUCUUGAGAUU